rnacentral:rRNA from 1 species
UUCCUACGGGGCGCAGCAGUGGGGGAUAUUGCACAAUGGGGGAAACCCUGAUGCAGCGACGCCGCGUGAGCGAUGAAGUAUUUCGGUAUGUAAAGCUCUAUCAGCAGGGAAGAAAAUGACGGUACCUGACUAAGAAGCCCCGGUUAACUACGUGCCAGCAGCCGCGGUAAUACGUAGGGGGCAAGCGUUAUCCGGAUUUACUGGGUGUAAAGGGAGCGUAGACGGUAUGGCAAGUCUGAAGUGAAAGCCCAGGGCUUAACCCUGGGACUGCUUUGGAAACUGUUAGACUAGAGUGCUGGAGAGGG